UGAAACGUCAAAUGUAUUUUAAUAAACAAUCUCGUAAGUUGCUCAUAAUUUAUUUUAUGUCUCGACUCUUUAUAAAUACGUAAUAUUCAAUAAUUUUGGGCUGUUUUUAUCAACGCUGCACGAUCGGUAUCAUGACCGCGAAUAGACAUCCUGCUAUCCAAAACGGUGAUGUUUUCCUGCUUAUGCUACCUUCGCUGUGGAUAGUUGAAAACGGAUGGAGAACAGAAGCACUGGAAAGCAGCUGUGAUUUGUGAAACUGACCCAAAAAGGCAUUUGGGUAACGGAUCGUUACAUUCGAUCACCGGAAUGAUACAAAUCGGAAUAGCUUUACCAGUUUCAGCUACACAUGAACUUCAAGAGCAUAAAUCGUUUGAAAAUUAUUCCGACAUUGUUGAACGUAAACCACGAAAAGCGAUGGGUAAACUUCCAGCUAUGGAACUCUUUCAGCCGAUACAACCUCUCAGAUCCAACCCUUCGUCACUUUGUACAACGAGAUACUUCUAAUAUGGACGAGUUGUGCCUAAAUUUUUUUCCGAAAUGCGGAGUUAAUGUUGAUAUAUACGCGGGAUACAUUGAAACUAAUGUUAUCAAUUUUUAAAAUCGAUAAAUAUAUUUAAAUUUCUUGUACAUGGUGUACGUGAAGCUUGAUGAAA